UACGGAGGGUGCAAGCGUUAUCCGGAUUCACUGGGUUUAAAGGGUGCGUAGGAGGGCAGGUAAGUCAGUGGUGAAAUCUCCAAGCUUAACUUGGAAACUGCCGUUGAUACUAUCUGUCUUGAAUAUUGUGGAGGUGAGCGGAAUAUGUCAUGUAGCGGUGAAAUGCUUAGAUAUGACAUAGAACACCAAUUGCGAAGGCAGCUCGCUACACUAUUAUUGACGCUGAGGCACGAAAGCGUGGGGAUCAAACAGG
rnacentral:rRNA from 1 species